AUGCAGAAACUCGGCGAACAUGAGCCAACCUGGCUAGGCUGCCCCGCCGCACGCAGGCCUGGGCAAGCCAGACCAGAUCUGGCCAUCCUCGCGAGCCGCCCGCCUCAGCCUCGCCGGCGACCUUCCCCUCUCGCGGAGGAGGGCCACCCGUCCCGCUACGUCAAGCUCACCAAGGACCAGGACGCCCCCGGCGAGGACAUCCGCCCCGGCGAGCUCAACCAGCCCGUCCACGUCCCCCAGGUGCGUCCCUUCCCCCGCCACUUCUCGCCCAUGCCCCGCGCCGCUCCUGUCGUCUCACCCCAUUGCCCGAUCCGAUCUGCUGCAGCUCGAGGGCCGGAGGUGCGGCGAGUGCAGCCAGGUCCUCCCGGAGAGCUACGAGCCGCCCGCCGACGAGCCGUGGUCCAACGGGAUCUUCGGCUGCACCGACGACCCCGAGAGCUGUACGUAUUCUCUCGACCCCCCUUUCCCACUCCGCCCCGUCCUUCACGGCCACUCCAGCGAGUCAACGACGCUGCUUUGAUUCCUUGCGGCGCCGCACCUCCCGCCGUUGGUGUUGUUCCGGGUCUGCCCGUGCCAGAUUCGUGGCCUCGCAUGUUUAAUUGA
rnacentral:rRNA from 1 species